rnacentral:lncRNA from 1 species
AAGAAAACACACAAUCCAAGAAGAUAUGCAACGCUAGACUUGGAUUCAUGUGAUUAAGAAUGUGGCUAAAUCAUCCUAAGCUAAAACAAAUCUCCCCUAACAUCGUAGUCUUCGUUCGGUAGCAUCGACAAAUGUGCAAAGGCAAGAAAAUAUCCUCGAUGUUUAAUUUGUUGCAACGUUGAUAUGGUCAGAAUAUGAUGAUCAUGUUUUAAUUCUUAAUCUCGAAUUGAUCAAUUCAUUCUUUUCUUAAUUUGACACAAUCAAUUCUCAGUGACAACCCUAAUUCUCCAAUUUGAAGUCUUGGAGGAAACUUCUUGUGCUCAGGAGAAACCUUACAAGCAUGGAUGUGGUGGGUGUCUGUCACCUGUUUGAUGAAAAGUCCAGACGGUUCAGUUCUUGGACAAAGAAAUCCAUUCAACUCGCAGUCUUACAAAACACGCAGGAGACUUUGUAUCCAACGCUGACCACGAGAGAAUCUUUGUCUUUCUUGCAGCCUUUGCCCACUGGAGACAGCCAACUCAUCCUUUUGGCCAGGAAAACAAGCUUUAAACCCC